rnacentral:rRNA from 1 species
UUGAACGCUGGCGGCAGGCCUAACACAUGCAAGUCGAGCGGAUGAAGGGAGCUUGCUCCUGGAUUCAGCGGCGGACGGGUGAGUAAUGCCUAGGAAUCUGCCUGGUAGUGGGGAUAACGUCCGGAAACGGGCGCUAAUACCGCAUACGUCCUGAGGGAGAAAGUGGGGGAUCUUCGGACCUCACGCUAUCAGAUGGGCCUAGGUCGGAUUAGCUAGUUGGUGGGGUAAAGGCCUACCAAGGCGACGAUCCGUAACUGGUCUGAGAGGAUGAUCAGUCACACUGGAACUGAGACACGGUCCAGACUCCUACGGGAGGCAGCAGUGGGGAAUAUUGGACAAUGGGCGAAAGCCUGAUCCAGCCAUGCCGCGUGUGUGAAGAAGGUCUUCGGAUUGUAAAGCACUUUAAGUUGGGAGGAAGGGCAGUAAGUUAAUACCUUGCUGUUUUGACGUUACCAACAGAAUAAGCACCGGCUAACUUCGUG